rnacentral:rRNA from 1 species
CGGGAGGCUCCAGCAGUGAGGAAUAUUGGGCAAUGGGCGAAAGCCUGACCCAGCAACGCCGCGUGGGUGAUGAAGCUUCGAGGAGUGUAAAACCCUGUUAGGAGGGAAGAAUCUCCCGUUUACGGGAAUUGACGGUACCUCCAGAGAAAGCUCCGGCUAACUCCGUGCCAGCAGGCCGCGGUAACACGGGGGGAGCAAGCGUUGUCCGGAUUUACUGGGCGUAAAGAGCAUGUAGGCGGGACUUUAAGUCAGUUGUGAAAUCUCCCGGCUCAACCGAGAACCUGCAAUUGAAACUAUUGUCCUUGAGUACGGAAGAGGGAAGUGGAAUUCCUGGUGUAGCGGUGAAAUGCGUAGAUAUCAGGAAGAACACCAGUAGCGAAGGCGGCUUCCUGGUCCGUUACUGACGCUGAGAUGCGAAAGCGUGGGGAGCAAACAGGAUUAGAUACCCGUGUAGUC